ensembl:lncRNA
GCCAGGUGAAAUUCCAUUUGUUCACCAAUUUUGUAGAAAUGUUUCCCAAUUGAUGUGCACCUGUGGCUUAUUUCCCUAGGUUGGAAAACCCUGAACUGGAAGGAGUAUGGAGUAUGAUGCUUUUUCUUAGUACAUUCUUGGUAGUAAGAUGGCUCUAAAUAUGCGGAUGAAUAUAGUGUGUUUCUACAAUAAUGAGUCUCUGGGAAAUCCCAUUUAAUUUGAGAUAUGAGCAGCAAAGAUAACAGUAAUAGCAUAAACAGAAACUUCUCAGAACUUUUAAGGACAAAAUCUCAGGCAACUCCUAAGAAUUAAAAUGAUUUUGGCUAUAAGUAGCAGAAAUCCAGACUCUAUAAGUGAUGUCACUGGACUGGAAGUUCAACUGUGGAGUGGGCUUCAGGGCAGAGUGAAGCAAGGUCAUUGAGGACCCAGGUGUCUUCUUUCUUUCUGCUCUAUAAUUCUUAGCAUGGCUUUAUCCUCAGUGUAGUAACAAGAUGGCUGACCUAGUUGUCAUAUCUACAUCCAGUAAUGCCCAGGGGACAUUCCUAUGGCUAUCCCAUAGAAAAAGGAAUUCUCCCUUACCCCUGGGAAUAAUUCCCAUUACACUUCAGGUCAAAAUGGGCUUAUAGGCUGGUUUAAAAGAAAUCAUAGGCAAGAUUAAUCUUCAAACGAUCCCAUCCUAAAACUAUAGGGAUCCUUUCAGUUUUCCCUGAGACAUGGCUACAUGGAAUUGAGGAGAUACCUGAUUGAAAUUGGGGUUCUAAUAACCAAAAGAGUGGAGAAAUGAAUGCUAAGUAGGUUACAAAUAAUAUCUACUACUUGGUUGUGGCAUCGUAAUUGGACCCUGAAGAAAUACAGAGAGAAAUAAGAGCCCCUGUGGCCAACAUGCUCUGACCAGCAUGAGUUUCUAAAACACAGAUUGAGGACCAAGUAAGAGGAAAAUGAGAUUGCCCAUCUUUUGGCCUGAGGCUAAAAUAAUUAAUAUAAUUCCUUACUGAGAGGAUACUCUAGUUUGGCUCAUUCAACAUCAUUUCCAUCCCUCUUUUCCUGUUCUAUAGAGAUUGGAAAGUAAUGUCCUUGAUUUCACAGCCUCUUUAAUAGCUUAGGUUGUGUUUUUUGGCCAUCUGUAUGUCUUCUUUGAAGAAUUGUCUGUUUAGAUCUUAUGCCCAUUUUUCGAUGGGGUUGUUUGGUUAUUUCGGUAUUGAGCUGAAGAAGGCUUUUAUAAACUUUGGAAAUUAAUACCUUGUCAGUUACUUCAUUUGCAAAUAUUUUCUCCCAUUCUGUGGGUUGUCUUUUCAUUUCGUUUAGGGUUUCCUUUGCUGUGCAGAAACGUUUAAGUUUAAUUAAGUCCCAUUUGUUUAUUUUUGUUUUUAUUGUUAUUACUCUAGGAGGCGGAUCUGAGAAGAUGUUGCUGUUGUUUAUGUCAGAGAGUGUUUGGCCUGUGUUUUCCUCUAAGAGUUUUAUAUGUCUGGUCUUAUAUCUAGGUCAUUAAUCCAUUUGGAGUUUAUUUUUGGAUAUGGUGUCAGGAAUUGUUCUAAUCUCAUGCUUUUACAUAUGGCUGUCCAGUUUUCCCAACACCACUUAUUGAAUGGGGUGUCUUUUCUCCAUUAUAUAUUCUUGCCUCCUCUGUCAUAGAUUUGUUGACUGUAGGUGCGUGGGUUUAAUUCUGGGCUUUCCCUCCUGUUCCACUGAUCUAUAUUCCUGUCUUUGUGUCAGUACCAUAUGGUUCUGAUGACUGUUGCUUUGUAGUAUAGUCUGAAGCCUGGGAGUCUCCUUCCUCCAGCUCCAUUUUUCUUUCUCAGAAUGUCUUUGGCUAUUCUGGGUCUUUUGUGCUUCUAAACAAACUUUAAAAUAUUUUGUUCAAGUUCUGUGAAAAAAGUACUUGGUAAUUUGAUAGGGAUUUCAUUGAAUCUGUAGAUUGCCUUGGUUAGUAUAUUCAUUUUGGUAAUAUUGAUUCUUCCACUCCAAGAGCAUGCUAUGUCUUUCUGUCUGUUUGUGUCAUCUUUGAUUUCUUUCAUCAGUGUCUUAUAGCUUUCAGUGUACAGGUCUUUGGUCUCUUUAGGUAGGUUUAUUCCUAAGUAUUUUAUUCUUUUCGAUGUGAUGGUAAAUGGGAUUAUUUUCCUAAUUUCUCUUUCUGAUCUUUCAUUGUUAGUAUAUAGAAAUGCAGUUGAUUUCUAUGGAUUAAUUUUGCAUCCUGUGACUUUGCCAAAUUCAUUGAUGAGCUCUAAUAGUUUUUGGUAGCAUCUUUAGAAGAUGUGAGGCAUAUACACAAUGGAAUAUUACUCAGCCAUUUAAAGGAAAGAAAUAGGAGUUCCCAUCAUGGCGCAGUGGUUAACGAAUCCGACUAGGAACCAUGAGGUUGCGGGUUCAGUCCCUGCCCUUGCUCAGUGGGUUAACGAUCCGGCGUUGCCGUGAGCUGUGGUGUAGGUUGCAGAUGUGGCUUGGAUCCUGCGUUGCUGUGGCUCUCGCGUAGGCUGGCGGCCACAGCUCCGAUUAGACCCCUAGCCUGGGAACCUCCAUAUGCCGCGGGAGCGGCCCAAAAAAUAG